GGGUUGCAGGACCUCUAGACACCUCAGAGCACCCCCUGAGGCUUUUUUGGGGAUGCGCCUCGCCUUCACACUUACCCUUCCCUCUGCGGAGCUCAAGUCCGUCGGAGCGAUCAGGCUUGCCCUCUGUUUGCUGUUACACGGCUAUCCGGAAGUAAGAGAAGCAGGAGUUGAUCAAACAAACAGGAAAAGUUUUAUUGAACAAAGGAAGUUUAUGACAAAAAGUGGGUUGGGAAAUGAGCUCUUUCAGGUAGAAUUCAACUUAUAGCUAAAGGAACUAAGAUGUCUCAGGCUUAAACACAAUAUUAUAGGUACUCCUCCUCUUAAACUUCAGUUACUAAACAUCGGUUGGUACACUUUAGGUAGAUAAAUACCCAGGUUUCCAGAAGAGAUGGUACAGUGGUGCCUGGCAAGAUGAAAUUAAUCCGUUCCGCGAGUCUCUUCGUCUUGCAGUUUUUUCGUCUUGCGAAGCAUGGCUAUUAGUGGCUAUUAGCGGCUUUAAGAAAAAGGAAACAAACUCGCAAGAACUCGCAAGACGUUUCGUCUUGCGAAGCAAGCCCAUAGGGAAAUUCGUCUUGCGGAACGACUCAAAAAACGCAAAACCCUUUCGUCUAGCGAGUUUUUCCGUCUUGCAAGGCAUUCGUCUUGCGGGGCACCACUGUAAAAUGUUCAAAUCUGUUACGUUGUGGGUGAACAUAUCAGACGACACAGCGAUUCUUCAAACAGCUCUUGUUAAUUCACAGGCCAGAACAGAGCUGAACUGAAGGGUUCAGCCAGCCUGCUUAUAUAGAGCUCCACUAGAAUGCAACAGUAACCAUUUUCUGUAACUAUCCAAUCACUGAAUUUCACUCUCAAUCCCUUAUUUGCAUAUGUGGACCUGAGUGAAAACUAUCUACAGUAUCCCCCUGCUGGCCCAGGGUGAGAACUUCAGUACAUAACAAAAUCAGUGUCUGUAAUUGGGAGGAUUUAACGUCCACUGACUGGGAACGUGUAUAGUGCUGGGCCUUAGUUGUAUUAUUAUGUGGCCCUAUCUCUCCUCUGUAUAUGGGGUGCACAGUGGUGCAUCAAGGUUUCUGGGUAGCUGGUUAGCAGGGUGUGGUUGUGUUGCUCCCCCAAUUCCAGUGGUGGUGAGUGCUGCUGGGCAGGGGAAGGUGCACAUGGGUGACCACCAUCGGGGACAGAGGCUUUGGUGUUUAGUCGCCAUUCUUUGUUCCUGCCCUCUCACUACCAGAAGCUACAGGUAGCAUAUCAGUUAAGCUUUCUAGAAAAACAAAAAGGGUAUAGACUGGUCUCUUUGGGGAGGAUAUCUUAUAAAUGGGGAGUUGUCACUGAAAGGGGCAGGAUUAACAGUGACCAAAGACAAACUUGGAGAAUGUUGAAAUUCCUGCAAUCGACAUACUUUAAUAAAUGUCUUGUAGAAUAACUAACACACAGGGAUUUUUAAAAAAUUAGUUUUCUAUAUAUAUGUAACAUUUGUAGGUAUAUGCAUUAUAAUUCCCACCCACCGCCACAACCAUGGUUUAGGGUGCUAAAUUAUAAUAACAGGAUAAUUUGAAAAUAAGCUUUGGCAGCUAUGGAUGAAAGCAAUUGCCUUCUUGGCUACAGUGAAUUGUUAAUUUAGAUUUAUAGGGUUGCCUAUAAAAUUCCUGACACCCUUUGAGCUUUUCUUGCUUUUUAGAAACCCACAGAUGCCAUUUUUACACCCGAAAACCAGGACAUGUCAGGAAUUUUCCUGAUGUAUGGCAAGCCUAGAUUUGCACCCAUGCUAUUGGGAUGAGGUCCAACACAAACUCUGGCAUUUUUCUUCAUGCAUUUGAACAGUAGUUCUGAAAUAAGCCCAGGCUCCAGAUUGCAAACAGAAGGAAACUACUCAAAGGCUUUUUUCUUUUCUUUUUUAAGGGAAAUUCCCUAGGAAAGCAGGCAGGCUUUCUGUACAGAUGGAUAUGCAGGUCACAAAAUGUUCUCUCAAAAUCCCGAAGGAGAGAUUUUCUGUGCUCAGUGACUCCCACAGUUUGAACUCAUUUCUCUACAUAACACCUACAUUUGCACUCAUCUUUUCUUCCAUGUGAUUUUCAUUUCUUACAGUCGUGCCAGAUUAUUAUUAUUUUUUUAUGUCUCACAAGUGAGGCUUGAGAGUAUCUCAACUGAAGAGGAUUUUUUUAAAAACCCACCCACAACCCACUAACUAUUCUGGGUACAAAAAGAAAAAACUUGCUGAAUUGUAACCAUGGUGACCCACAGUAAGUUGAAGUGUCUGACUUUAGUGUCUGUGAUUCAACCCAGAAAAAGUUGUGGAUAGAUUAAAUGCAAGGAGGGAAGCAGCGCCUUUCGCUUGUUUACUUCCCCCUAGACAGCAAUAGUACUUCUGGAAAUAGCUUAAGGACAACCACAGGUAUUACAUGGCCUUCAGUUUAAAUGCAAUGUAAAAUUCCCAUUUCUGAUCCAGUCUAGAUAGAGAAAACUUAACAUCUCUUUCCCUCAUCUUACCUCACAGAAGUACAUACUGGUAAUUUGUUUGUUUAGUCGUGUCCGACUCUUCGUGACCCCAUGGACCAGAGCACGCCAGGCACUCCUGUCUUCCACUGCCUCCCGCAGUUUGCUCAAACUCAUGCUGGUAGCUUCAAGAACACUGUCCAACCAUCUCGUCCUCUGUCGUCCCCUUCUCCUUGUGCCCUCCAUUUUCCCAGCAUCAGGGUCUUUUCCAGGGAGUCCUCUCUUCUCAUGAGGUGGCCAAAGUAUUGGAGUCUCAGCUUCAGGAUCUGUCCUUCCAGUGAGCACUCAGGGCUGAUUUCCUUCAGAAUGGAGAGGUUUGAUCUUCUUGCAGUCCAUGGGACUCUCAAGAGUCUCCUCCAGCACCAUAAUUCAAAAGCAUCAAUUCUUUGGCGAUCAGCCUUCUUUAUGGUCCAGCUCUCACUUCCAUACAUCACUACUGGGGAAACCAUAGCUUUAACUAUACAGACCUUUGUCGGCAAGGUGAUGUCUCUGCUUUUUAUUUUUUGCUUCUUACAUUUAGUAAUACUACUAAUUACUAAUGUUUAACUGGGUCCUGUGAGAAUCUGUUCUUCAUGUUACUGCUCAGAUUUACCUUCACCAUAAGGGCUAGCUACAACAAUAAAAAAAUACAAUAUUAAAAUAACAGCUUACAGCCAGGAGAAUAUAUUUGUUCUAUAGACGGUGUGCCUAAAUACUGUUUCAAAGGUCAAGUACCACCCCCACUCUCUGCAAGACUCCGGGGUGUGUGUGUCCCAAGCACUCUGGUAGAGUCUGCGCUCCUUUGGAGAAUUGAAACACAGCAGAGGCUGUUGCAGCUUUAAGAAAUAUGGUUUACUCACCUAUGUACACAUUUCAGUCUGCAUGGAGGGAGUCCAGAUCUUACAGCAUGGUCAUUUCAAGAGGGGCUUGUCCCCUACAGCAAUGAGCCAAGUAACCAUAACUGUUAAAGUAUAUAUAAUAGAAUGAUCUCAUUCCAAAGGUAGAAAUAAAUCUAUUGUGUGUCGAGGUCCCCAAGCCACCCCUCAAAAUAAUUCACAAUUCACACAUAAUUUUUGUUUAAGGUUUUUGGCAUAAUUUUGGCCACAACUUUAUUAAAAUACAUAAUCUGUGAGUGGUUGCUUAGGCGCUGGUUAAGACUAUCUGUCCCCCCGCCUGGGACAG
rnacentral:lncRNA from 1 species